rnacentral:rRNA from 1 species
UACGAAGGUGGCAAGCGUUGUUCGGAUUUACUGGGCGUACAGGGAGCGUAGGCGGUUGGAUAAGCCCUCCGUGAAAUCUCCAGGCUUAACCUGGAAAGUGCAGAGGGGACUGUUCAGCUAGAGGAUGGGAGAGGAGCGCGGAAUUCCCGGUGUAGCGGUGAAAUGCGUAGAGAUCGGGAGGAAGGCCGGUGGCGAAGGCGGCGCUCUGGAACAUUUCUGACGCUGAGGCUCGAAAGCGUGGGGAGCGAACGGG